ACGUGGUCAAAGCUCAGGAAAAAACAAAGGGCAAAAUAAAAAUGAUGAAGAGAGAUGUCGUCUUCAAAGUUGGUGACAAAGUUUUAAGAGCUAACAUAAGAAGCCAGCAGAGGAAAGGGGGGGAAACUUGAAGCAAACUUUUUAGGCCCUUACAUUAUUACAGCAAUCCAAGGUAAAAGUGCAGAUCUUCAGGAUUCCAAUGGGACAAUCAUUCCAAAAGUAAAUAUUGACCAACUAAAGUUAAGCAAAGACAGCAUGCCAAGAGUGCCACACCGGGGUUUAAAGAAAACAGCAGCCACAUUACUAACAGCACAACCAGGUCCAGCAGCACCAGCAUCUGCUCUAGCUUCACAGGCUACAGCAGCACCAGUGGCGGUAGCACCACACCUCCUCCUAGAGCUACACGAGGCUACAGCACCAAUGGCAUCACUUACAUCACUACCAGUUCAAACACAACAUCCAUCUCCAGUUCCACAAGGUAUACCAAUAACGGUAUCAGAACCAGAGUCAGGAGCAAUAGCACAGAAAGUGAACGAACCACCAGAACCAGCCACAAGUGCUACAGCACCAGAACACGCUACAGCUCUACAAACAAUCCAAAACAGCAGCCGACCCAGCCUCAAAGACCAUAACAGCAGACCAGGCCUCACAGACCACAACAGCAGACCCACCACACAGCAGACCCAGCCUCACAAACCACAACAGCAGCAGACCCGGCCUCACAGACCACAGCUCCAAAUGCUACAACCACACAAGCCUCAGCUCCACAGAUUACAGCCCAGCAAUCUACAGCACAAACCAUAGAACCAACAGUUGCAGAGAAAUAUAUAAUGGAUGCCUGGGCUGGAAAGAGUCCUCACAUUCUACUCUCCAGAAUUGGUGCUUACAAAUUAUUCUACUGGGAUAUCCAACAAAUUGGUCCAGACAUGGAGUUGGAAAGUGAGUCUAUUAAUGCAUAUCUUGCGAUCAUGGUGAGACAAUGCAAUCGUCAUAAUUCAGCAAAAGCAGCAUUCAUUGAUUCAUUUUCAAUGACUGCCAUUUGGAAGAGAAAAGCUCCAAGACUCAAGAUCAAACCCAUGGAGCAUGAAGUCAUUCUGGGAAUUGUAAAUGAACAUCAUCACUGGACAUUAGUGGUCAUUUACCCACAAGAAAAGAAGUCACUGUAUCUUGAUCCACUUGGAGAAACUAAACAAGGUAUCCAAAAUUGUUUGGAAUCAACAAGGGCAUUCAUGCGAAAAAAAGGAUGCAACGUCUCAAGAUGGACUUUUGACACAGUCAAACACCCAAAACAAGUGGACGCUACCUCAUGUGGAGUCUUUGCAUUGAAAUUUGCUGAAAAGAUCUUGCGAAAAGAGUCAAUAGACUUUCCGUCUACAAAAAAGGCCAUAAACACACACAGGCUGCAAAUUGCCACCGCUCUUCUCCUAGAGACAGAUGACUUGACAAACAUCUGUCAUUUCUGCGGGGAAGAAGAGCAUGCAACUGACAACAAAUGGAUUCAGUGUGAGAUGUGUUUGCGGUGGUUCCACCAGCUCUGCGUGAAAAGCCCACCACCAGAAGAUGUGUUUAUUUGUCUCGCUUGUACAUAGUUGACACUAAAGGUCCACAGCUAGUGUUCUUAUGGCACACAUUGUCGAGAACACAUAUCUACAUAUAUAGAUGUAGAUGUUAAAUUAAGAAGUCUAAAAAAAACCAAAUGGUCUCCAAAGUUACUGUAGUUAUUAGUUAUACUGUUAUUUAUUUUGCAAAUAAACUCUUUCUGAUAGCAAAACCAAGGUGCAUUAUUGAUGGGGGGCACACAUUUUGGCAGCCGAUGCCACACAGCCUGAUAAAAUCUGUAUCCCUCCAUAACUUUUGCUGUGAAUAAGACAUCUUCUCCAAAGUUACUGUACUUAUUGGUUAUACUGAGAUUGAUUUUGCAAAUAAACUCAUUCGUGAUAGCUUCGCUACAAAGUGUAAACCGAGUGUAAAUUCACUGGAGAGCGACGUGUUUCCAUGAUCGCAUCUGGUUUUACAGUAUUAUAGUAUCAAAGUCUUUUUCUAGACAAAGUACUCCCAGCAGGUUAUUUCAGUGUACAGUAUAAGGUAAACUGUCUUCCACACGGCACAUUACAAUGUCACGAAACUAAUAUUAAAUUCAUCGAGUCUGCUGUUUUCCAGGUUUUACUCUUUAUCGCGUCGACUGCAGAUCAGUGACAAGUAGCGUACAGAACGGAGCUGGGCAAGUGGCUCCUC